rnacentral:lncRNA from 1 species
GGCACAUUCUUGAUCUAAGCCAUAAUAGGGCAGAAAGAGGAACUCAUUUGUUCAACAAAUAUUCAUUAGCACUGACUGUAUGCCAUGUACUGUUUUAGGUUCCUGGGGGUACAAUCAAGAUCAUCAUAUCAUGGAGCUUAUAUAUGAAAAGAGGAAAGUCAUUGAUACCUGCUUCUUAGAUGACCAGUGGUGCUAACAUGACCAGCCUAGCAAGGCUCCUCUGCCUUCUGCGAUGUCUGGGAGAAAUGAGGGGGACUCGGAGUCACAGGCCCCCGGGGCCACAGCAUGAAGAAGAAGGAGAAGCCCUGACUGGUAUGUGCCAGAGACAUCUUACGUGGGAUUCUAGGCUCAGCAGUUUCUCUCCACUGACUUUACGGGAGGAUAAACUUGGCAAAAUUCUAUUCAUCCUCCAAAAGCCAAUGAGGUUUUACAUCCUCCAGUAAACUUCCAGGAAGGCGCCUAAGUGGCAUUCUUUUGCUUGUAUUUUCAGUUUCUGGUCACUUGUGGCCACAGCCUAUGGAGCCUGCUCAUCUACUAGAUCCUCAAGCAUGGAGUCCUGACUCACUGGUCUGGUUUUUUCCAGAACCAGACUCUGGGCCUAAGGCAUAGUAAGGCAGCUCAAAACAUUUGUUGAACUGAAUUAGG